UAUUCUUCUUUUCCUUUCAGCUGCGUCAGAUCAGGAUCUUUCACCAGACCAGUUAAGGACGCAGCAGAAGCUACAUCAGCUCAGUGACUGAGUGAUGAGCCUCAGGAUGAAGAGGACGAAGCCACGUUCACUGUAAAUGGUCCACUUACUGUCCUUCGCUCCAUCAUCGUCUCAGUCUUAGCUCCUACGCUGUUUUUUUCCUCCUCCAGUCCAAAGUGACCUCUGACCUCAGUGAAUCAUAUUUCUGUGAUGUUAUUUUCUGUUAGUAAAAACAUCUUGUGUAAUAAUUGAGCUCCUGCUGCUCUGAUCCAUGACGCCUGGUGUUUCCUUUGUUUCAGUGUCAUUACUCUGCUUCACUGCUGUUUCCAGAGGACGAAGCUGAGAUGUGUUCAACUGAAUAAAAAUACUUGAGUCCAGAUUUGAACUUUCAGACUUAAGACUUCAGACUCUCUGCUAAACUUCACUCACUGCUUCAUUUGGCUCUAAAAUCUUUUUGCCCUGUUUUUUAGCUGUGAGAACAUUUGGUGAGAAAAAAUUUCAC